AUUGAACGCUGGCGGCAUGCCUUACACAUGCAAGUCGAACGGCAGCGGGCCCUUCGGGGUGCCGGCGAGUGGCGAACGGGUGAGUAAUGCAUCGGAACGUACCCGGGAGAGGGGGAUAACCGGCCGAAAGGCUGGCUAAUACCGCAUGAACUCGGAAGAGCAAAGCGGGGGACCUUCGGGCCUCGCGCUCUCGGAGCGGCCGAUGUCCGAUUAGGCUAGUUGGUGGGGUAAAGGCCCACCAAGGCGACGAUCGGUAGCGGGUCUGAGGGGACGAUCCGCCACACUGGGACUGAGACACGGCCCAGACUCCUACGGGAGGCAGCAGUGGGGAAUCUUGGACAAUGGGCGCAAGCCUGAUCCAGCAAUGCCGCGUGGGUGAAGAAGGCCUUCGGGUUGUAAAGCCCUUUCGGCGGGGAAGAAAUCGGUCAGGCGAAUAGUCUGGCCGGAUGACGGUACCCGCAGAAGAAGCACCGGCUAACUACGUG
rnacentral:rRNA from 1 species